UUAAAAUGAGAGUUUGAUCCUGGCUCAGGAUGAACGCUGGCGGCGUGCCUAAUACAUGCAAGUCGAACGCUUUGUUUUUAAUUGAUAUGAAGAGCUUGCUCUGAUUUGAUUUUAUCUGACAAAGAGUGGCGAACGGGUGAGUAACACGUGGGUAACCUACCUCUUAGCAGGGGAUAACAUUUGGAAACAAGUGCUAAUACCGU
rnacentral:rRNA from 1 species